rnacentral:rRNA from 1 species
GCUGGGCACUCUAGAGUGACUGCCGGUGACAAACCGGAGGAAGGUGGGGAUGACGUCAAAUCAUCAUGCCCCUUAUGACCUGGGCUACACACGUACUACAAUGGCCGGUACAACGGGAAGCGAAGCCGCGAGGUGGAGCCAAUCCCAGCAAAGCCGGUCUCAGUUCGGAUUGCAGGCUGCAACUCGCCUGCAUGAAGUCGGAAUUGCUAGUAAUCGCGGAUCAGCAUGCCGCGGUGAAUACGUUCCCGGGUCUUGUACACACCGCCCGUCACACCACGAGAGUUUACAACACCCGAAGUCGGUGGGGUAACCCGCAAGGGGGCCAGCCGCCGAAGGUGGGGUAGAUGAUUGGGGUGAAGUCGUAACAAGGUAGCCGUAUCGGAAGGUGCGGCUGGAUCACCUCCUUUCUAUGGAGA